GUGGGGAAUAUUGGACAAUGGGCGAAAGCCUGAUCCAGCCAUGCCGCGUGUGUGAAGAAGGUCUUCGGAUUGUAAAGCACUUUAAGUUGGGAGGAAGGGCAGUAAGUUAAUACCUUGCUGUUUUGACGUUACCGACAGAAUAAGCACCGGCUAACUUCGUGCCAGCAGCCGCGGUAAUACGAAGGGUGCAAGCGUUAAUCGGAAUUACUGGGCGUAAAGCGCGCGUAGGUGGUUUUGUAAGUUGGAGGUGAAAUCACCGGGCUCAACCUGGGAACUGCCUCCAAAGCUGCAUGACUAGAGUACGGUAGAGGGUAGUGGAAUUUCCUGUGUAGCGGUGAAAUGCGUAGAUAUAGGAAGGAACACCAGUGGCGAAGGCGACUACCUGGACUGAUACUGACACUGAGGUGCGAAAGCGUGGGGAGCAAACAGGAUUAGAAACCCGUGUAGUCC
rnacentral:rRNA from 1 species